rnacentral:rRNA from 1 species
UACGGAGGGUGCGAACGUUGUUCGGAUUUACUGGGCGCAAAGGGCGUGUAGGCGGUCUGGCAAGUCAGGGGUGAAAUGCCUCGGCUCAACCGGGGACCUGCCUUUGAAACUGCCGGACUUGAGGCCGUGAGAGGAGACUGGAAUUCCUAGUGUAGCGGUGAAAUGCAUAGAUAUUAGGAAGAACACCAGUGGCGAAGGCGAGUCUCUGGCACGGUUCUGACGCUGAAACGCGAAAGCUAGGGGAGCAAAC